AGUACUCAUAAUAUGGGUAAAUUAUACUGAUAAUUAUUGGUAAAAUUUACUCAUAAAAUAAGAAAAGUGACUUUACUCAUAUAUGGGUACUUGUGGUUUACCCAUAUUUGGCUGAAAAAAUGUUGUUUUCGAUUGUGAGCUCAUCAUCACAAGAUGAACAAUCUCUUAAGUUUUAUUUCAAUUUUUUCGUGAAAGUUUUCGAGUUCGACGAUCCAAGUUAGACAAAGACAUUUUACCAUUAAUUAAGAACGAUCUCGAUUCCUGGGCCGGAGCCUCGGUGCCGGAUCCAACCUGAUUCCUUGCCUGAUUUUGUUUUUCUCCUACCGCUACGGCAAACAACAAUGUGCAGCGCGUUUAAUAUUUGGAAACAGGAAGGAUCUCGGAAAGGAAAGCCAACUGGCCUCCACACGUCGACUGUUUAAGGCAGUGGUGCUCAAGCUGGAGGAUACCGCGGGCCAAAUUUGCAAUUCGGGAUCGAAAUGUGGGCCGCAUAAAACAUCGAUGCAACAAAAAGAACACUUCUAAAGCAUAUUUAUUAAAAAUCUGAACAGUUCAAUUUAGAUUCUUAAGUUUGAUUGAGACAAACGUUUGAAAUUCAAACAAACAAUUUAGAAAUUGCCCCUAGAAUUGCCUUGAAGCCACUUCAAGAACUUGUCAAGCAGCUUUUACAAGAAUUUCUUUUGAAUCGCUCCAAAAAUGAUUGCUGGAUUUUCUCCUAAAAUUUCUUGUGGAGUUGCUCCAGAAGGUUUUCGAGAAAUUUCUUGAAGUUUUUUUUAAGUUUUUCUAGAAUUCUCUUGGCACUCCUCCAAGAAUUCCUCUCAGAUUUGCCUUUGGAACUGUCCUAGAGUUACUUCAGGAAUUCCUCAUUAAUCGUUUCCAAGAAUUUCUCCUAGAAUAGCUUCCGGAUUUUUCCGAAAAUUUUCCAGGAGUUUCUUGAAGAUUUUAGUAAAUUCUUUCCAUAGGUCUCUUCUAAAGUUGAUGAAAUACUUCAUCAUUAAAUUUCUUCAAAAAUUAGAUUUUUAACAAUUGUUUCCGGAAGUUUCUUCAACUUUAUCUUGCUGCAUAAGUUGCUUCAAAUUUAUUGUUCAUAUUUUCCUCAGGCGUUCUAGGCAUCUUUUGUGUCUUGAUGUAGUUGGUCCUGGAAUCUAGUAUGUAGUUACUUCUGAAAAUUCUCUUUUUGUUGCUCGAGGAAUUUAUUCGCUUAGAGUUGCUUAAAAGUUUUCUCCAAUAAUGCUCCAUGGAGUUUCUCCAAAAAUGUAUCCAAAAGUGUCUCCAAAACGGCACAGAAGAUGCUUUAUGAAUCUCGUAUUAUUUAUUUCUUGCAACUUCAACAACACAGUUACCCAAACUUUUGCUCAAACAGCAUCAAAUUAGGCAAGAAAUCAUAUAACCCAAGCUGUUUGCACCAUUUCAUUGCAGAAAUGGAGAAUUGAUCAUCUCACCAUACAAAAAUCCAGCUCACUACUUUCAAUCUAGUACUUCACUGAUUGCUUCCUAUUCUCCAUUUCUGCAAUGAAAUGGUGCAAAAAGCGUGGGUAUUAUGAUUCCUUGCCUAUUUUGAUACUGUUUGAGCAAAACUUUGGGCAACAGUGUUGUUGUUUUCUCCAUUUCUUGCAACAUAAACAACAUAGUUAUCCAAAGUUUUACUCAAACAUCAUCAAAUUAGGCAAGGAAUCAUAAUACCCACGCUUUUUGCACCAUUUCUUUGCAGAAACGGAGAAUUCAGUAACAAAUUUUGAAAACGACGUACGUUACGUACAAUAUAUUGUAGAUUCACUUAGACGUUUUCUCGUUCAGAAUCCUGGCGAAUUUUCGGAUGGAUUAUAUAGAGAUUACAGAAACACCCCACUCAACUCAGUAAUUUUAUUUAUGUGUAUGCAAUUGGGUUCUUUAGGGGUAUCCAGAUUAUAGCGCAGUUUCGAGUUCGAAAGGAAUCGCACAAGAAACUUCUUGAGUGAUUCCUGGCAGAAACUUUCUUCGGUGACUGCCAUUUGAACUAUCAUUUCUUGUGGGGAAAAGCAGAGGAAGCCAAAUUUCAAAGGAAUUUGCUGAGGGGGGGGUGUUUGUUUUCAGAAUUUCUCACGGUGAAAAAAUAAUGGCCGCUCAGCCAGUUUUGACAUCUAAGACUACCUUAGAAUAUGUAAAUACCUUGCUGCGAUCGAAGAAAAACCGGUUUCUUGAGCGAUUCAGGCAAGGAAUUUCCCAUGCAUCAAGAUAGGCUGAGAAAUUCCUUCUGAACUGCAAACAGUGCUUAUGCCAUAAUCAGAUUCUUCGGCCAAAAAUUAGUCGAAAUCCAAAAUGUCAUAAUUUUUGGAAUGUGGGAACUAUUUUUAAAAUGCAUUUAAAAUUUGUAUGGGGAAAUUUUUUUGUUCGGGUCGAACUGUCAUUUUAUCGAUUGAACUCAGGAUUAAAAAAAUUAAAAUUAAAAUUUAAAAAUUAAAAUUAAAAAUUAGUCUAUGAUUAAACCAUAGAUUUAAUUCCAAGAUGUAAAAGUAAGGAACAAAUUCCGUUCAAUUCAUGACGCCAUUCGCUCCCCCAGUAAAUUCGCCCGUUCCUGUUUUCGCUCGAAGCGGCGCUUUCACUUGUGAAUUCGCUUCAUGUUCUUGCCCAUUCAUCAUAGCAAACAAGUAAAUUCGGCAAUCCCGUUACCAUGGUCAAAGCAUUCUUGUUUAUUUAUUUCAUGUCUGAAAAAAUUGACACGAAAACCGUCUGCUUCGGCGUCCACGGAAAAGCAUCUGGCUGUAGCUCUCAGAGCGAUCAAGGAAUUGCCUUUCAUCCGGUUCCUACAUGAAGUGACCCCCACUUGCGUCAUCGAAAGACCUAGGGCCACUUUAUUGGUCAUUUAUCAAUAAAAGCGCACUCCCAAGCGCACUCCCUUCAAAGUCAUUCUUGCCUUAUCGUUCCCGAGUCCCGGUCAAUUCUAUCGAAGCUAAAGAUGCACAUCUCACUUGUGCAA